rnacentral:rRNA from 1 species
GAUGAACGCUGGCGGCGUGCCUAAUACAUGCAAGUCGAGCGAACAGACGAGGAGCUUGCUCCUCUGACGUUAGCGGCGGACGGGUGAGUAACACGUGGAUAACCUACCUAUAAGACUGGGAUAACUUCGGGAAACCGGAGCUAAUACCGGAUAAUAUAUUGAACCGCAUGGUUCAAUAGUGAAAGACGGUUUUGCUGUCACUUAUAGAUGGAUCCGCGCCGCAUUAGCUAGUUGGUAAGGUAACGGCUUACCAAGGCAACGAUGCGUAGCCGACCUGAGAGGGUGAUCGACCACACUGGAACUGAGACACGGUCCAGACUCCUACGGGAGGCAGCAGUAGGGAAUCUUCCGCAAUGGGCGAAAGCCUGACGGAGCAACGCCGCGUGAGUGGUGAAGGUCUUCGGAUCGUAAAACUCUGUUAUUAGGGAAGAACAAAUGUGUAAGUAACUAUGCACGUCUUGACGGUACCUAAUCAGAAAGCCACGGCUAACUACGUG